AGAUCUUGUUUUUUUGGUUAGCUGCUAAUCUCGCCGAGCAUUCAGAGAGUUUGUUUAACUAGGUGUAUGCAGUCUUUUAGAGUGGGGGCUACACUAUUCUUCCAGUUUCUGCUAAAAAUUGUAAGUGCAGCUAUAUUGAUCUGGUAGAGGAGAUAAAUCAUAUCUUUAAUUAACUGUGGAGAGUAGUUUUGUAACAGGAAGCAUUCCGGGGUAUGCGGGAUG